ACACGAGAUCUGGACGACGAG
rnacentral:miRNA from 1 species